rnacentral:rRNA from 1 species
UCAUAUGCUUGUCUCAAAGAUUAAGCCAUGCAUGUCUCAGUACAAGCCAAAUUAAGGUGAAACCGCGAAAGGCUCAUUAAAUCAGUUAUGGUUCCUUAGAUUGUACCCACAUUUACUUGGAUAACUGUGGUAAUUCUAGAGCUAAUACAUGCAAACAGAGCUCAGACCGGAGACGGAAUGAGUGCUUUUAUUAGAUCAAAACCAAUCGGUGGCGUUAUGGUUCGCCAUUACGUUCACCGUAUUGUCUGGUGACUCUGAAUAACUUUAUGCUGAUCGCACGGUCUUGCACCGGCGACGCAUCUUUCAAAUGUCUGCCUUAUCAACUGUCGAUGGUAGGAUCUGCGCCUACCAUGGUUGUAACGGGUAACGGGGAAUCAGGGUUCGAUUCCGGAGAGGGAGCCUGAGAAACGGCUACCACAUCCAAGGAAGGCAGCAGGCGCGCAAAUUACCCACUCCCGGCACGGGGAGGUAGUGACGAAAAAUAACGAUACGGGACUCAUCCGAGGCCCCGUAAUCGGAAUGAGUACACUUUAAAUCCUUUAACAAGGACCAAUUGGAGGGCAAGUCUGGUGCCAGCAGCCGCGGUAAUUCCAGCUCCAAUAGCGUAUAUUAAAGUUGUUGCGGUUAAAAAGCUCGUAGUUGAAUCUGUGUCCCGCGCUGUCGGUUCACCGCCCGCGGUGUUUAACUGGCAUGUCUCGCGGGACGUCCUGCCGGUGGAUCAUGUUGCAACUUUCGGGUUGUAACUGGUCCGACUUUGUGUAAAUCCUGUCGCGGUGCUCUUAAUUGAGUGUCGAGGCGGGCCGGCACGUUUACUUUGAACAAAUUAGAGUGCUCAAAGCAGGCUAAAAUUUCGCCUGAAUAUUGUGUGCAUGGAAUAAUGGAACAGGACCUCGGUUCUAUUUUGUUGGUUUUCGGAACCCCGAGGUAAUGAUUAAUAGGGACAGAUGGGGGCAUUCGUAUUGCGACGUUAGAGGUGAAAUUCUUGGAUCGUCGCAAGACGGACAGAAGCGAAAGCAUUUGCCAAAAAUGUUUUCAUUAAUCAAGAACGAAAGUCAGAGGUUCGAAGGCGAUCAGAUACCGCCCUAGUUCUGACCAUAAACGAUGCCAGCUAGCGAUCCGCCGACGUUCCUCCGAUGACUCGGCGGGCAGCUUCCGGGAAACCAAAGCUUUUGGGUUCCGGGGGAAGUAUGGUUGCAAAGCUGAAACUUAAAGGAAUUGACGGAAGGGCACCACCAGGAGUGGAGCCUGCGGCUUAAUUUGACUCAACACGGGAAACCUCACCAGGCCCGGACACUGGAAGGAUUGACAGAUUGAGAGCUCUUUCUUGAUUCAGUGGGUGGUGGUGCAUGGCCGUUCUUAGUUGGUGGAGCGAUUUGUCUGGUUAAUUCCGAUAACGAACGAGACUCUAGCCUGCUAACUAGGCGUAACUUACCGGUAUCUCGAAGGCUCGCGUCUCUCGGUUCCCGUGUGUUUCGUUUGCGUUGUGUUGUGUGUUGCGCGUAUUAUCCUUGUGGUGAUGCGUUGCGCACCAUCACGACGUAUUUCGUACACAUGGUCGGGAGUUCGCGGUUUUUACUACCGGCGUACAAUUGUAUCUUCUUAGAGGGACAGGCGGCUCCUAGCCGCACGAGAUUGAGCAAUAACAGGUCUGUGAUGCCCUUAGAUGUUCUGGGCCGCACGCGCGCUACACUGAAGGAAUCAGCGUGUCCUCCCUGGCCGAAUGGUCCGGGUAACCCGCUGAACCUCCUUCGUGCUAGGGAUUGGGGCUUGCAAUUGUUCCCCAUGAACGAGGAAUUCCCAGUAAGCGCGAGUCAUAAGCUCGCGUUGAUUACGUCCCUGCCCUUUGUACACACCGCCCGUCGCUACUACCGAUUGAAUGAUUUAGUGAGGUCUUCGGACCGGUACGCGAUGGUGUUUCGACAUCGUCGAUGUCGCUGGGAAGAUGACCAAACUUGAUCAUUUAGAGGAAG